ACACGUCUGUGACGUGUAGCACUGGGCUCUGAUCAUCCUUGAGGACACAGUGCCCCUCAGGACCUUUGACACCUAGAGGUGUGAGGGGCUC
ensembl:snoRNA